rfam:Schistosoma rodhaini strain Burundi genome assembly, scaffold: SROB_scaffold0008765
AUCCAACUGACGAGUACCAAAUAGGACGAAACGCGCGUCCUGGAU